GAUGGAGUUUGAGCAGUAACAGGUCUGUGAUGCCCUUAAGGUCUGGGCCGCACGCGCGCUACACUGAUGAAGUCAACGAGUUAUGGUCCUCUAUCGAAAGAUAUGGGUAAUCUUUUGAAACUUCAUCGUGCUGGGGAUAGAGCAUCGCAAUUAUUGCUCUUCAACGAGGAAUCCCUAGUAAGCACAAGUCAUCAGCUCGAGUUGAUUACGUCCCUGCCCUUUGUACACACCGCCCGUCGCUACUACCGAUCGAAUGGCUUAGUGAGACCUUCGGAUCGGCAUUCGGAAGUCGGCAACAACCUCUGCCUGGCUGAGAAGUUGGUCAAACUUGGUCAUUUAGAGGAAGUAAAAGUCGUAACAAGGUUUCCGUAGGUGAACCUGGCGGAAGGGAUCAUUA
rnacentral:rRNA from 1 species